rnacentral:lncRNA from 1 species
CUAUCAUAAAUUUUGACUAGAUAGAGAUUAUAAAAUUUUUUUUCAAAUCCCAUCAUCUGUCAUAUGUCAAAUUUAUUCAACUCAAAUUCAUGAUGUGAAAUACAGUAGAAACUCUUUUCUACUAUUCACACUAUCUGGGCUAAGAUUUUUGAACUCAGUCUCAUAAAUCAUAUAGAACUAAUUCUCUUAUCUUCCAAGGUCAAUAGAUUUCAGAUA